ensembl:lncRNA
AAAGGAUGCCCCUGCUAAUGGAAAUGCGGUUAGUUUCCACAACUUUUCUCUUUUCAUUGCCCAGUACUGCUUGUAAUAGUUUCCAAAUGAACUCAGGUGCUACCCAUGAUAACUCAUAAUGUUUUAUAUUUUAGGAAAACGAGGAGAAUGGCGAUCCAGAAAAUGAAGUAGAUGAGGAGGAUGAUGAGGUGGCUGAAGAGGAUGAGGAAGAUGAUGGAGAAGGUGAUGAUGAUGAUGAUGAAGAUGAUGAUGAGGCUGAGGGUGGCACAGGAAAAAGAGCGGCCGAGGAUGAUGAUGAUGAUGAUGAGGAUGAUGUUGAAACCAAGAAGCAAAAGACUGAUGUGUAAGAAGCUACUCUGCUGGAAAUCUUCUCAUCCCUCCUUUCCUUAACUCGUCCACUGGGGGAGGAAAAACAUGGUCAUCAUCAAGUAGAGUCCAGCAUCCGUGUACACACACCUAACUGCAGAUUUUGUAGAAACAACCAAGACUUCAAAGCUCUACCUUCUUACAAAAUACUUUAAAAGGAAAAAUUUGUUUGUAUUUUUAUUUACAUUUUAUAUUUUUGUACAUAUUGUUAGGAGGUCAGCCAUUUUUGACCGUGAUCUCUGGUUACCAAACGGUGCUUUGAAGUUGAUGCUUCUCUACGAAAUAGAUUUUACUUGUGGUUGGACCAUGUCAUGUUAUCUCAAAGGAAACUUGUAAAAACUAAGCAAAAAAGGAAAUGAAAAAUUGCAGAAAAACGUACAAAAAAACAAAACAAAAAGGUUAAUUCAAAGCAUUCCAGUAACUUUGUGUAUGUACAUCAGUUGUAUCAUACGUAGUUGGAUUGUAUGAGAGGGCAGGGCCAAAAGAAAAGAUUUUUUUUUCUCUUUUCUUUCUUGUCUGUUAAAUUGCUAUCUAUUUGUGGCCUGUUUGAUGUAUGUGUGAAAUUUGUUGUGCGACAAUAAACCGAAAUUUAUUUUGUGAGUUCUUAAAUUU